rnacentral:lncRNA from 1 species
UUUGGGUGUUUUUGGGUUUUCUGGUACUUUAGAUUUUUUUCAAGACAUAAAUAUUGGAACCGUCCCAGCCUUAUACCUACCAGAAAAUUACAGGUAUUUUACACGUAUUUAAAUUGUAAAUCCGAACCGAUCCAGACACGAAAGAAACCGGCUCAUACCUAACCUAAAGAUCCAAAAUCUCAAGCCUAUUCUCUUUCAGUAUAUUUUAUGUGCAUUUUAUAAAAGUUACAUUUGUUGAAUUGGUGAGGCUUUGU